GUGAAGAUGUGGAACAAGACUUCUGGGAAGGUCACUUAGAAAGGCAUGCCAGAUCCCUGUGGAAAUCCAUGCCUUCUGGGGCAGCCUAUUUCUAUUCCAAGACAGAAUCCCUCUUCACAUGUCUCUUCCAAAAAGCAGACCAUUUGUCUGGCAGAAAGUAAGGACGCUGUAAAGUUAAAUUGUUUAUACCAGAGGAAUGAAACACACCAAUUAUGGAGAAGGCACGUAAAUGAAAAGGGAGAGCUGGAUAUGGGGGCACACAUCUAUAAUUCCAGCAUUUGGAGAGCUGAAGCAGGAGGAUUGCAAGUUGAAGGCCAGCCUUGUCUACAUAAUGAAACUACCCACGCCACCACUCCCC